rnacentral:rRNA from 1 species
UACAGAGGUCCCAAGCGUUGUUCGGAUUAAUUGGGAGUAAAGGGUGCGUAGGCGGUAGGGUAAGUAUGAUGUGAAAUCUCACAGCUUAACUGUGAAACUGCAUUGGAUACUAUCCGGCUAGAGGAAUGGAGGGGAGACUGGAAUACUUGGUGUAGCAGUGAAAUGCGUAGAUAUCAAGUGGAACACCAGUGGCGAAGGCGAGUCUCUGGACAUUUCCUGACGCUGAGGCACGAAAGCCAGGGGAGCAAACGGG